UCAGAAGGCCGAAUUGGCGGGAGAAUAGGUUUGGUGGUCCGAGAUCCGAGGCAACGGUGGCUCCUCGAGGUCCACGGUCCCGGCCGGUGAACUCGAUACCUUGCAAGCCUGUAGCCCCAGCUCACACGCCUCUGGGCGUCCGCCUGGAUCUGUCUGGUGAAUGGAACUAGGAUGGCCUGUGAGCCCACAGAACGUCUAGAAAAGUCAGCUUUACAUUGGGACCAACAGAAAAUUACAGGGAAUUAUCUACAUCAUCCACAGGCAUCCCAUUUACUUAAAAAUAAUCAUUUUUAUUUUGUGACACUUAAUACGGAGAAUAUUGUAAAUACUGUACACCCAUCACCCUAAAUUGACUACUGGCAUUAUGAUUUAUUUGCUUAUUUUUUAAAAGCUAGAUAAUACAAUAAAAGUUAAACUUACCUGUUUUUUCUACUCUCAAGCCUAUUACCCUCUCAUCCUCUCCAGAAGCAACUAUUAUGAAUUAGAAUUAGCUUGUGUUCUCCCAGUCCAUUUUUAAUAAUUAUAUGUAGCCAUGACUAUA
rnacentral:lncRNA from 10 species